rfam:Brachypodium distachyon strain Bd21 chromosome 4, whole genome shotgun sequence.
ACAGUACUCCCUCCGUUCCAUAAUUUUUGUCUAAAUAUUACAUGUAUCUAGACGCUUUUUAGGAAUAGAUGCAUCCAUUUUGGGGCAAAUUUGAGACAAGAAUUAUGGGCCGGAGGGAGUAGUAC